rnacentral:snRNA from 1 species
GGCUGUGAGGGUGAUCUUGCUGUGACAUCUGUCGCCCCAUUGAUGGCCAGGGUUGAUUCAGCUGCCCUGGCUGGCUAGGCAGGUGUCCCCUCCCUCCCUCAUGGCUACGUGUGCCUCCCUCCCAAAGCUGCGUGCUGGGUCGAAAGGUCAAAGAGGACGACCUUCCCUGAUAGAAGAUGACUGUUCUUCAGUGAGGGGUAUAAGACUAGCUGCACUCCCCUGUGGGAACUUCCAAAACAAGCUCUCAAAAAUAUCUGAGGGGGUGGGGGGAGGACAAUAAAAAAUACCUAUCUACAUAGCAUUUACAUUGCAUGUGGUAGCAACUAUCU